AAAACACUCUGGAAAAUAUAUCAAUCUGAACUAAUAACAAGAUCUAACAGUUUUGUAAUUGUUUUCUAUUAAUCCAAACCCAAACAAAGAAGAAACAUUCUCGAAGACAGUUUUGUAAUUGUUUUCUAUUAAUCCAAACCCAAACAAAGAAGAAACAUUCUCGAAGACCAUAAGAUAAACAAGAUUUAGGAAUCCUUUACAAGUUUAAUAAAAGCACAAGUCAUACAGAGGACAAGCCCCCUCUAAAGUGAUAAACAAUGUUGUGAGCAACAUCAUGGUUUUUGAUGUCUUCACAACAAUUAUUAGGAAGAGAUUCUCUACCUAUCAAUUCUCUACCUUUUUGAUAACUUUCUCUCUGUACGUGGUUUGAGCCUAACUCAUCUCUAUAAAACCAACUUGUAGAGUAAGAAUUGCCCCCCCCCUUAUAAAAACAUGUUCAGAUCAUAUAUUAUCCGACACGAGACUCUUAACACUCUCUAUCUCUCUUUUAAGAAACAAUUUUUCUAAUCUAAAUCUAAAUAAUCUGAUUUUAAUCACCAAUCCUUCUAGAUACACUAAGGUCACCAAAUAUCAAAGGUUCAAUCGUAGUUAAAUAGUCUCUUAAAAUAUUUGUGAGUUGUUAAGUGAUAACACAUAAUAUUUAAACUAGUAUAAUAAAAAAGAGAAAUAAAGUUACAGUAAGGAUAAGCAGCAUCUUGAACAAUCUUCUCGAGAGUAUCAUAAACAAUCUUGCUAUCAACAAGGAACCUCAAGUAACCAUCAACAGUAG
rnacentral:lncRNA from 1 species